ACGGGUGAGUAACGCGUGGGAAUCUACCUAGUUCUACGGAACAACAGUUGGAAACGACUGCUAAUACCGUAUACGCCCUAAGGGGGAAAGAUUUAUCGGAAUUAGAUGAGCCCGCGUAAGAUUAGCUAGUUGGUGGGGUAAUGGCCUACCAAGGCGACGAUCUUUAGCUGGUCUGAGAGGAUGAUCAGCCACACUGGGACUGAGACACGGCCCAGACUCCUACGGGAGGCAGCAGUGGGGAAUAUUGGACAAUGGGCGCAAGCCUGAUCCAGCCAUGCCGCGUGAGUGAUGAAGGCCUUAGGGUUGUAAAGCUCUUUCAGUGGGGAAGAUAAUGACGGUACCCACAGAAGAAGCCCCGGCUAACUUCGUGCCAGCAGCCGCGGUAAUACGAAGGGGGCUAGCGUUGUUCGGAUUUACUGGGCGUAAAGCGCACGUAGGCGGAUUGGUCAGUUAGGGGUGAAAUCCUGGAACUCAACUCCAGAACUGCCUUUAAUACUGCCAGUCUCGAGUCCGGAAGAGGUAAGUGGAACUCCUAGUGUAGAGGUGGAAUUCGUAGA
rnacentral:rRNA from 1 species